rnacentral:rRNA from 1 species
CGGGUGAGUAACACGUAUGCAACCUGCCUGCCACAGCCGGAUAAUCGGGAGAAAUUCCGUCUAAUACGGCAUAAUGCAUCGACGGGACAUCCUGUUGGUGCCAAAGGUUGAUUCCGGUGGCGGAUGGGCAUGCGUCGCAUUAGUUAGUUGGCGGUGUAACGGACCACCAAGACGACGAUGCGUAGGGGCUCUGAGAGGAAGGUCCCCCACACUGGUACUGAGACACGGACCAGACUCCUACGGGAGGCAGCAG